rnacentral:rRNA from 1 species
UACGUAGGGUGCGAGCGUUGUCCGGAAUUAUUGGGCGUAAAGAGUGCGUAGGUGGUUACCUAAGCGCAAGGUUUAAUCUUGAGGCUCAACCUCAUUCUGCCUUGCGAACUGGGCUACUUGAGUGCUGGAGGGGAAAGCGGAAUUCCCAGUGUAGCGGUGAAAUGCGUAGAUAUUGGGAAGAACACCGGUGGCGAAGGCGGCUUUCUGGACAGUAACUGACACUGAGGCACGAAAGCGUGGGGAGCAAACAGGAUUAGAUACCCCCGUAGUCCCUGAG